GGUCACUAGUGGACAGCAGUGGCGUGAGUACCGGGUGGUCAAGAGUUAAUCGGAUUGGUGGGGCGCAGAGGUGGUGUAGGUGGUUGGGAAAGUCAAUUGUGAACGCCCCGGUCUUAACUCGGGAACUGCGUUUGUUACUGUCGGACUAAAAUGCGGUAGAGGGAGGCGAAACUCCAGGUGUAGCGGUGAAAUGCGUAGAUAUCUGGAAGAACACCAAUGGCGAAGGCAACCUCCUGGGCCUGAAUUGACACUGAGACACGAAAGCGUGGGGAUCAAACAGGAUUAGAUACCCCGGUAGUC
rnacentral:rRNA from 1 species